GCAAGCGUCGCGUUCGCAUCUCACUUGCUCAGCACUCAACUCGGAAAUAACGCACUGCAUACGCAUAAACACGUAAAAACAAACAGCGCUACGGCGUGCCGGCAAACUUGACGUAUAAAUAUAUGACUGUUACGGUUUUUCAGUUGCGAAUGUGUGUGUGUGCUAGCACACGACAGGCCUGGGAGAGAAGUCAGAAUUUAUAUUAAUAGACAAAGCGACGUUGUGGAAGGGACGCAGCAUAUAGUUUUGCGCGCGCGCGCCCGAUCUCGCUCAAGCUCACGAGGCCCAGUGUUGCGCAGGUUGACGACAAAGCCAGGAUGCCAGCCGCGAGUAGGAGAAGCGUCUCUGGCAGCGGCAGCAGCAGCAGCAGCAACGGCAGCGGCAGCAGCAGCUGAUCGAUCGGGCCACUCUCGAUGAACUUUUGAAUAUCCAUCUGGAAAACUGCAGGCAGAAUAGGGUGAAAAUCAAUAUUGCACACCGGCUGACGUGGACCUUUUUUGGGAACGCAUAAAAAUUGAGGUACAAUGAACCAAAAUACCCACCAUAAAAUAUUCCAAUCAGCGAGGGAACUGUAAAUUAAAUAUUUACUAUACGGCGGCAUGUCACAAGGCGUUACAUUGAAAAAAGAGUGAUAUUGUGUUUUGAUUUUCCAAGAAAUUGCUUACAGAAUAGUGGAAAAAGUGCAUUUAAAAUAAAAAUAAAUCCACCUUAAGGCUGAAAAUCAUUCACUUUUAUCCAAGUUAACGUUUAUAUUUUUUUCUGAUUAAAAAAAUUGAUAGUGAAUUUGCCGAUAUCUGAUCACAAUAAAUAUAGAAUCUCAAAAUCGUUUCAGCUAAAAAAGAAAUCGACAACUCAACUAUCUGUCAGUAGAAAAUUUUCUUUAAAAUUUCCGUUACAACGAAGUUUUAUAAAUUCUGCACACUAUUUGUCAA